UUUAAUGUUCUGUGGUCUUCUGGGUGUCCACUUCUUCAUGAGAACCCAUUGGUCACAUGACAAGGAAGUGGGAUCUGAUAGACCAAUCAGAGAGAAUGUCUAUUAGAAUCAGACAUCUGCUCAGUGGGUUUGUUUUGAUCGGUACAGGACUUCUCUGACAGGGUGGGUGUGUUUGCGUGUAUUCACCAUUGUCUGUUAGUUUGUCCAGCGGAGUGGGUCUUCCCCUCUGGGCUUCUCUGUGAAGUCUCUGACAUGUCAAACACAGACCAGGGGGAAGAGUUAGUGGAGUGCCUUGAACCAUGAAGGAGGGGCCAGAGACAAUGCUGUCCAAUGAGCAGCAGGAUUCAGCGUCUGACUCUACGCCUCUUUCCGUCUGCCCUGUCACCUUUCCACCAAUCACAGCCUUCCCCUGGCUGACUGACAGCUCUAGCGGUGGUGACCCACAUUCUGAGACACUGUGGUUUCCAUGGUGAUGGUCAAUCAGGUCAUUAUCCGUGGCCUCGUCUGAGAUCACGAUGCUUGAGUCAGCAGAGUCCCAGUCCGGCCCUGUCCCUUCACCCUGCCCUCGCCGCCUACUACUACUCCUCCUCCUCGUCAUCCCCGGCUGGGCAGCAGGGUCACUGGAGCCCCAGGCUUCAGAGGCCUUGUUGGAGGCUGAGCGACUCAGUCUGGAUGGACGCAUGGAGCUUCCCCACCUCACACAAUACUGCAAAUUCAGCUGCAACACAGGGAGAUCUUUACACACACAAACCCUGCAGAUUCAGCUGCAACACAGGGAGAUCUUUACACACACAAACCCUGCAGAUUCAGCUGCAACACAGGGAGAUCACACCCCCUUGUUCUGGACCAGAACAAAAAGGUCUGAAGGAGAAGUAGCUAAAUACCUAGUUGCCAUUUCAGACAGAAGAUGUGGUAUAUUACCUGUAAAAAAAUAUAUAAGGCAAUGUUUAUAUGACCCCCUUUCAAACAGUCCCUUAUUUACCACUUUCUUGCAGGUAUACAUACCCCUUUUAUACAUAUCAGUGGGUAACUAGCAGAUUGGGAGGGGUGUUGUUACAGUAACGGCCCAGUGUUUCCAGAUUUCUAUGAAAUAUGACCUAUAAUUACUUACAAUACCAAAAAAACAUUGUUUUUCAUUUCAAAUUAGGGAGGUGUUUUAAACAAUGGAAGUGUAAAACAGCUACCUGCAAAAAAACAGAACCAUUCUCACAGACCCAAUUCCUGUAUUUUGGUUACAGGGUCUGAAAAUGCAGCAAUCUUGACUAGUUCUUUAGGUGGGUUUUAAAUGUGUCAUGUUUUCCUUUCUUCUUACCACUAUCCCUUUCAAUUACACAAAAAAGCAGCCAUAAAUUUGUGGGAUUUUGGUAUGUGUAUGAAAGGGAUAUAGUUAAAGACAACGAUUUGUGAACUUUGCCUGUUGAAAAGCGAUAUCCCAAGUAUAAAUACUGUAAAGUACACACACUGAAGGGUAAAACAAUAUGUUGAGUAAAAGGGUUUAGAAAUGUGCAAACUUCAAGGUGUUCGGGAUCAAUGAAGAGGAACUUCUGCUGUCAUGACUUACCAGGACCACCUAUUCAGAUGUGCCUUUUGUUAACUAAACAAGGUGUUAAAUGGAGGUGAAAAGAAGACACGAGUGGUACUUUAAUGUUGUGCUUCUAGCUGCCUACCCUGAUGUAGCCACCGGUCUCACCUCGUUGACUUCCUUGGUCUGUCGAAUAUUGAGACCUGUGAAUAAAAGGACCAACUGUUUGCUGCCUAACUAGCUAUUGCCACUAACGUUACUUCCAUCUGUUGUUGCUAACAUACUGUUGUUGCUAACAUGCUGCUAGCUAACUGCUAUUGCCACUAACGUUACUUCCGUCUGUGGUUGUUGCUAACAUGCUGCUAGCUAACUAGCUAUUGCCACUAACGUUACUUCCGUCUGUUGUUACUUCCAUCUGUUGUUGCUAACAUACUGUUGUUGCUAACAUGCUGCUAGCUAACUAGCUAUUGCCACUAACGUUACUUCCAUCUGUGGUUGUUGCUAACAUGCUGCUAGCUAACUAGCUAUUGCCACUAACGUUACUUCCAUCUGUGGUUGUUGCUAACAUGCUGCUAGCUAGCUAAGGUAGAUGACUGCACUGAAAUCUUACCAGCUAGCUACCACAAAUGUCCGAGCCAAACCAAAUGAUCUGCCUGGGAUAGGUAUAACACAACCUACAAAAACCUAUACAGUAGCUAGUUAACUAAGCUAACUCAGUUAGCUAACUGUUUGUUGUGUUUAUGUUAGCCAUCAGCGUCAAAACAGUUACUGUAUUAGCUGGCUAAAAGUUACUUACUGAGUCUCAAAAUGUUCAUAGUCUAUCCGCUUAGAAAGAAUCAUCUCCGUGGUCUCCUGCUUUGAGCUUUUGCUAACUACCGUAACUAGAUGUUUGAUAGUAACGGACGGCGAAGGAAAGCGGAUUUCGGUUAGGACCGUGGCAGAUUUCGGUUAGGACCGUGGCAGAUUUCGGUUAGGACCGUGGCAGAUUUCGGUUAGGAUCGAGGCAGAUUUCAGUUAGGAUCGAGGCAGAUUUCGGUUAGGACCGAGGCAGAUUUCGGUUAGUUUCGAGGCAGAUUUCGGUUAGUUUCGAGGCAGAUUUCAGUUAGGAUCGAGGCAGAUUUCGGUUAGGACCGAGGCAGAUUUCGGUUAGGACCGAGGCAGAUUUCGGUUAGUUUCGAGGCAGAUUUCGGUUAGUUUCGAGGCAGAUUUCAGUUAGGAUCGAGGCAGAUUUCGGUUAGGACCGUGGCAGAUUUCGGUUAGGACCGUGGCAGAUUUCGGUUAGGAUCGAGGCAGAUUUCGGUUAGGAUCGAGGCAGAUUUCGGUUAGCUUCGAGGCAGCAACAACUCACCUCUCGCGCAAAACUCACAUCAAACUUCAGCACAUGCGCACGGGUGACGUGUUGUUCGCCAACGAA
ensembl:lncRNA